CAGGCCUAACACAUGCAAGUCGAACGGACCCUUCGGGGUUAGUGGCGGACGGGUGAGUAACACGUGGGAACGUGCCUUUAGGUUCGGAAUAGCUCCUGGAAACGGGUGGUAAUGCCGAAUGUGUCCUUCGGGGGAAAGAUUUAUCGCCUUUAGAGCGGCCCGCGUCUGAUUAGCUUGUUGGUGAGGUAAUGGCUCACCAAGGCUACGAUCAGUAGCUGGUCUGAGAGGAUGACCAGCCACAUUGGGACUGAGACACGGCCCAAACUCCUACGGGAGGCAGCAGUGGGGAAUCUUGCGCAAUGGGCGAAAGCCUGACGCAGCCAUGCCGCGUGGAUGAUGAAGGUCUUAGGAUUGUAAAAUCCUUUCACCGGUGAAGUAAUGACUGUAGCCGGAGAAGAAGCCCCGGCUAACUUCGUGCCAGCAGCCGCGGUAAUACGAAGGGGGCUAGCGUUGCUCGGAAUUACUGGGCGUAAAGGGAGCGUAGGCGGACAUUUAAGUCAGGGGUGAAAUCCCAGAGCUCAACUCUGGAACUGCCUUUGAUACUGGGUGUCUUGAGUGUGAUAGAGGUAUGUGGAACUCCGAGUGUAGAGGUGAAAUUCGUAGAUAUUCGGAAGAACACCAGUGGCGAAGGCGACAUACUGGAUCAUUACUGACGCUGAGGCUCGAAAGCGUGGGGAGCAAACAGGAUUAGAUACCCUGGUAGUCCACGCCGUAAACGAUGAUUGCUAGUUGUCGGGUUGUUUACAACUCGGUGACGCAGCUAACGCAUUAAGCAAUCCGCCUGGGGAGUACGGUCGCAAGAUUAAAACUCAAAGGAAUUGACGG
rnacentral:rRNA from 1 species